AUACGGAGGGUGCAAGCGUUAAUCGGAAUUACUGGGCGUAAAGCGUACGUAGGCGGUCCGUUAAGUUAGAUGUGAAAGCCCCGGGCUUAACCUGGGAACUGCAUUUAAAACUGGCGAACUAGAGUUGAGUAGAGGGGAGUGGAAUUUCAGGUGUAGCGGUGAAAUGCGUAGAGAUCUGAAGGAACACCAGUGGCGAAGGCGACUCCCUGGACUCGAACUGACGCUGAGGCACGAAAGCGUGGGUAGCAAACGGGAUUAGAUACCCUAGUAGUCC
rnacentral:rRNA from 1 species